rnacentral:lncRNA from 10 species
GGACUUCAUGUGAGAGUCGGUAGUUUCAGUCAAUGGAAUGGUGCUCAUAGACACGAACCUCUAACCUGAUUGAGAUAGUUUGAGUCAAUAACUUCUUCCUGAUUGUUGAAAGAUUAAUAACACAUUUAUAUUCUUAAAAGUGGCAUCAACCAUAAGCUGAUGGGAAAAAUCAAGUUUUCUGUGUGUUGGUUCCUCUCAAAGAUGCAUUCCACUGCGGAAGGGGUUUAUGUACCUCCUAAGAGUAUGGGGCGAGGGCAGGUGCAAGCCAAAGGGAAGCCUCAGAAAUGUGUUCCCUACUCAUCCUGCCCUCAAACAGGGCCAGUGACAGUAACAGACACUAUCUGUUUCAUGCACUUACUCCCAUUUCUAGAUCUGGUACCUGAAACCACAGUGCCGAAAGUAGUCAAGUACGACUAUGCCUGAAGCCCAGAAGUGUGGUUUUCCACAGUGAGGAAGAUUUGCAUUGUGAAGCAGAUGUCAGAUAGAAAAAGCAAAACAGAAAUAUGAAGACAUUGUAAGAAUUUUGGGGUGAUUUCUGACCUGCUCAGUUUCCAUCAGGGCAUCCCAGGGUUUUUUGCCUUCUCAAUUUUGAACAGCAUAGCAUUUAAAUGAUCAUUUUUGUUUCUCUCCGCUGCUCCCCAAUCUAAACAACAAAAGAAGGAAUUUAACCUCAUAUCCUCGCUCUGAAAUUAGCUCUAUUGUCAAAAGAUGACAGCUGUAUCCUGAUUUCAAGAAUUUCAUGUUGGAAUAAAACAGCAUUUUUGAAACCAUUGUGUUAUUUCAAACAGAUCUGUAAUGGUCCCUGAGCAAACCAUUUUCAGAAGACUUGGGUGAGAUCACGUGAUGAUGGAGAAGGUCACCAGAGCCAGGCACCUUGUCCACACACAGGGCUUCCUUCCUCCAUGACUUAACCCAGAGAUGUAGACGGCGGGGUCAACAUUAAAUACCACAAACAGGCAAAAGAGCUUCAGACAGAAGGAUCAUCUUCCUGAAGACAAAAUAAUCAUCAUCCUUUGAGGGCAAAGUGGGCAACGUUAUGGGUAUCUUUUGUUUUGGAAUGGGACUCUACACUAUGGGAUUUCUAGUGGAGAGGACAGUUACCAGAGUCAGCACUGGAGCAACUUUUGCUUUUAUAAUCAGAAAAAAGAAAUCAAAGUUAAUUUAGAAAGGAAUUGUACUGCUUUUGAGGAGCACAAGCUUUGGAUACAGAAAGACCUUGAAUUAUAGCCUGCUUUGAACCUCUACGAUCUGUGCAGCAUUGGCUAAACAUUUCUUAGACUCAGAUCUUCAGUUUCACAUCUUUUAAAAGGCAUAAUAACAGAAUGCUUACAGGUUUACCUUGAAAAUAGCUGAGCCUACCUUACGGAGUGCUGGACGUGUGGUAUGUGUUUAGUGCAGGCCAGCUCCCCUCCCCAGUUCAACACAUCCUGAGUGGUAUCCACUGACAUUGAAAGACCAAAAUCAGAUCUUUUUGAGUCUCAUCAAUUCUAUCAAAAAAACCCUCCCCCUUGUGCUCUCAACCUAGGAGGGUCAAGCCAGUGGAAUGGUAAUCAUCUUGUGUGAGUUGUCAGUGCUCUCCUAAGCAUCUGUUACGCAGGAUCACGCUCUUAAGUUUGCCAAAAAUUACCUCAUUGAUAAUGUCUGCUGGAGAUGCUUAGGCAAAACUUGAAAUAGAAAGAUAGUCUUUUGGAAGACAAUUCCCCACAAGUGUAACCCCAAAGAAUGUUGGUUUGGUGACAUGGAACAGCUGGAAAAGUAAGACCACAUCGUUCAAAAGCAUGACAGUACCUCUGCAAAUGAGACGAGAGCUAAAUAUGUGUCUCAGAGAUAGGAAGCUAAAUCAGAACGCAGCAAGAAGACAGCACACAUUCGAGAGAGGAAAAAAUGUGAAAUCUGCUUCUGGCCAUCAGAGGAGCUGAUGCAAUCCCGGCUGACUCGGGGGACAGCCACGGUGCCAGCUACAGAGGCCACAUGGCUUCUAAUGAGGCCAGGCCCAGUUGUAGCUCCGAAGAGUGGGUGAGCCAGCCAAAUUUCACCCAAGGACAGAAGCAGCCUUAACAGCUGUUGACAAGCACUGGCUACCAUCUAUGUGUCAACAAUUGUGUCAUGAGUUUGAGAUGGGCCGACAGCACGUGGAACUCAAAGGUGACUAAGGGAGAAAGGAAAGUAAAUCAAUGAUCAGAGUCCAGAGAGCUACAUGCAGUGCAACCCAUGGUUUUAUGGGAGAACCGACAGGGGCACCUCACUCUGGAAGGAACAACGCCAGGAGAGGCUUUGAGGUGCCGAUAAUGUCCAGGUGAUGUGCAAAUGUGUAGGAGCUAGCAAGACAGAAAAGCAGCUAUUAAUGGGGAAGUGGUGUGGGUGACAUUUCAAAUAGAGGGAAUAGGAGGCAAAAGAAGAUUAAAAAUAUAUGCUUAAGGAAAUGCUGGAACGACUAUUUCACAUGGCCAUGGUGCCAGAGAUAAGUUUAGAAGACAUGCACAGGAUCAGACCAGGGAGGGUGAGCCAGUGGCUCUGCAUUUCACCCUGGCAACUCUGAAGUCCUGCUGGAGAAUUUUAAGCAGGGGCGGAACAGCCACCUGACAGAUACAGAUAAACAUCCUGGAAAGAUCACUCCUGCUGCAGAGAGAAAGGAGCAAUGCUGGAGGCUGCGGCUGCCCAGGCCAAGGAGGCCUUCUGAAAAAGUCCAUCUGGAUGAAGGCGAAUUCAAGAGCAGCUUAGCUGGCAGAACUGAAGGACCGUGGUGCUCCUACAGAUCAUGUGGAUGAUGGGAAGGGUCUCCAGGAAAUGCACAGAGGGUGUGAAAAGUUCCAGGUUGAAAUCCUAGGUGCAGGGUAGGCAAUGGCCAUUUUAGCAUUUAUGAAUGGAAAAUCCAGGGUGCACAAUGCUUUGAGGAGAGAGUCACUUUGGAUUUGCCUCCGGAGUCUACAGGUGCGGUGUCCUUGGGCGCCCAGCCAUGCAAGUCUGGGGUCUGGGCUGGUAGCCGGAUCUCAGCCUCUUUCACCUCCCUUUUUCCUCUUUUUAUUUAUUUAUUUUUCAUUCUUUCCCCUCUCCACAUCUCAGUUCUAACCUCUUUGCCUCAAUAUGCUCUUUCUUGUCUGUUCUUUAAACAGGAACUUGUUUGGAAUUGAGCCUUGAUUCUGAAAAGAAAGUAUCAGAGGGCAGCAUUUGAACUGGCAUUUAAGGUGUCAACCAGGGGGAAUUUGGUGCCGACCAGUAAAAGGGGAGAAUCAAAAACAGAAGCUCCAUCACCAGGGACAGGGCCAGACUCCUGACUAGAAACUCAGUGGAUGUGCUGAAUCAUUCGGAUACUUUCCAGAAAAUUAUUUUACCUACUCAGAAGGCUGGGCAUCAGCCAAAACUGUCUGGAAAACCACAAGGAAAGACAUUUCCAUGAAGUAACUAGAGUUUUGGGCUUCUACUCUAGAGGAAUAUAAGAGGAACUUUCUUUAAAGAGUAUGCAGGUGGUUCCUUUUAAGCUCACCUGUCUGGUUUUUCAAACAGAUCAAGGGGUGAUGGCAGGGAAACGUCUCCCCUGGAAAUCUCACCCCUCCAUUUGCUAAAGAGAAGGAGCUUCAAUCCCUUGACAGGAUGAUGAAACAAUAAUAAACUGAUGUGACCAAGUCUCAUGCCAGCAGUCCUACCUGUGGCCCACCCUUCUCGUGGCCAACAAUGGCUUUUCUUAAAUAAAUAAAAAUCAAGAUUUGUACCACUCCUGCUGUAAGCUCUUCAGUGGCUCAUGGAUGAAUGAACAGGAUCACCAUUGGCACACAAGUCCCCCCACAGAUCACCUACUCAUCUUUCCACCCCAGCUUUUGCCAUUCUCUCCCCAUCCCACAAAUCCAUUGCCAUCCAAAGAUAAGAAAGAUACCAGAUAGGGCUUCCCAGUUGCAGCAGAGUGGACUGUCUUUACACUGGAGGGCUAUUCUUCCACAAAGAAGUCUUCUCCCCCGUGGGAAGGGAUUGGAGUACUUCUCCUAGGCACUAUGUGAGCAGAUGGUUGAGAAAUGAGCUAGCCCUUGAGCUUCUGCAGCAAGGGAGGGUCCCAUCAUGAGAGCAGAUGGUAUGGGAAAUGCACCAGUUUGGAAUUGGGAGGAACAAGUUUCAGGCCUGACUCAGAUACAGAUACUUGCCAUCAUCAGUAUGCCCUUGAAUGAACUAUAAAGUGUCUCUGAACCUCUGUUGUCUCCUUUGCAGUGUUGAGCCAAGGUUAUAUACCACACAGGGAUUGAGGAAGAGGAAUUAAGGCAGCGUACAUGGAAGUGGCUGGCUCAGUCAUCACUGGCUAAACGCUACUUGAAUUCCAUUCUAAAACUCCACAUAGAAAGGCAAUUUGACAAAAUUUGAUCAUCCCUUCACCCCAAUUAUCACCCCGUGAACUUUUCUUCCAUUUAUCACCCUUGGAUUUCGUAGCUCGGCACACACAGUCUUUCUCCCUCUCUCACUUCUUUCUUUCUCUCCUUUUUUCUUCUUCUGUUAAACCUAAGAAAUUCUAAUGCUGAAGAGGGUUUUCUUAAGGUGAUUCUCCUGGAAAAGAUGACUCUUUAAGCAAAAAUUCAGACUUUCUCUAGAGUGACCGAGACAUGUAGGUGGCGGUAGCAAUACAGGCUGACCUUCCAGCAUGGUCCUGGGAACCACAGGUCAGCUCUGCUGCAGAUGCCCAGACAGCGUGUCUCUUCCUGAAACAAAUCGACUUCCACAUGGCUCUUCUGAAGACUAAGAUGGCCACGUCUAUCUAAUGAACCCAUCCUGCCACCUCCAUUUGGGUCCUGGAAAUGGACCGAGCUCUUUUGUGGUUCCCUGUACAUUUCAGCGUGCAUCUUUAGCUAUGAGAGGUCAUUUGCUGCCAGUUCUGUUGGCUUUAAUGAGUCUCCUGCCUUGGACCUGGAGAGAGAAGUGGGAAAAUGUGAUUCUCAUGCCCAGGCCUGGCCUCCCUGAACUCACUUUUCCCAUUAAGCUUUGACACUGGACCAUGCCUUUGUUGGCAGAGGAGGUUUUUAUGGAUCUUAUGGGGGAUGCACAAUGGAAACUGGAAUUAAACUUGUGUUUCUCUUUUUUCUCUCUCUUUUCCUUGAUUGGGUUUUGACAGAAAUUAUUUGACUGUUUCCUUUUCACAUGGACAGAAUCGAGUAUGUUCUUUCAACGUUAUCCAAACCAUCAUGCUCAAAUGGAAAGGAAAGUUCUGUGAGGUUAAAUGGCAGAGACAUGAUGUCUACAGUAGGAACAAAGCUGCUUAGAUCCUUCCAGACGCUGUAAAUUCCCCUAACAUAAAAGACAAGAGUACAGACUCUGAGGUCAGAGGGACUCACGCCCAAAUCCCUUCCCCACCUCUCACAAGUUACUUAUUCUCUUUGAGUCCUGAUUUUCUCACUGGUCAAAUGGGAAUAAAAAUCCCCUCCUGGGCCGGGCAUGGUGGCUCACGCCUGUAAUCUCAGCACUUUGGGAGGCCGAGGCGGGUGGAUCAGGAGUUUGAGACCAGCCUGAUCAAAAUGGUGAAACCUCGUCUCUACUGAAAAUACAAAAAACUUAGCCAGGUAUGGUGGUGCACACCUGUUAUCCCAGCUACUCAGGAGACUGAGGCAAAAGAACCACUUGAACCCGGGAGGCAGAGGUUGCAG